CCUACGGGAGGCAGCAGUGGGGAAUCUUGCGCAAUGGGCGAAAGCCUGACGCAGCAACGCCGCGUGCGGGAAGAAGGCCUUCGGGUUGUAAACCGCUUUCAGCAGGAACGAAAAUGACGGUACCUGCAGAAGAAGGAGCGGCCAACUACGUGCCAGCAGCCGCGGUGACACGUAGGCUCCAAGCGUUGUCCGGAUUUAUUGGGCGUAAAGAGCUCGUAGGCGGUUCAGUAAGUCGGGUGUGAAAACUCUAGGCUCAACCCAGAGCCUGCAUUCGAAACUGCUGUGACUAGAGUUUGGUAGGGGAGCGGGGAAUUCCUAGUGUAGCGGUGAAAUGCGCAGAUAUUAGGAGGAACACCGGUGGCGAAAGCGCCGCUCUGGGCCAAUACUGACGCUGAGGAGCGAAAGCGUGGGUAGCAAACAGGAUUAGAUACCCUGGUAGUCCACGCCGUAAACGAUGGGCACUAGGUGUGGGUUUCAACUAACGAAAUCCGUGCCGUCGCUAACGCAUUAAGUGCCCCGCCUGGGGAGUACGGUCGCAAGACUAAAACUCAAAGGAAUUGACGG
rnacentral:rRNA from 1 species